rnacentral:rRNA from 1 species
AUCAGAAAGCCACGGCUAACUACGUGCCAGCAGCCGCGGUAAUACGUAGGUGGCAAGCGUUAUCCGGAAUUAUUGGGCGUAAAGCGCGCGUAGGCGGUUUUUUAAGUCUGAUGUGAAAGCCCACGGCUCAACCGUGGAGGGUCAUUGGAAACUGGAAAACUUGAGUGCAGAAGAGGAAAGUGGAAUUCCAUGUGUAGCGGUGAAAUGCGCAGAGAUAUGGAGGAACACCAGUGGCGAAGGCGACUUUCUGGUCUGUAACUGACGCUGAUGUGCGAAAGCGUGGGGAUCAAACAGGAUUAGAUACCCUGGUAGUCCACGCCGUAAACGAUGAGUGCUAAGUGUUAGGGG